rnacentral:rRNA from 1 species
GGUCGACGAUUAACGCGAAGAACCUUACCAGGUCUUGACAUCCUCUGACAAUCUGAGAGAUCAGACUUUCCCUUCGGGGACAGAGAGACAGGUGGUGCAUGGUUGUCGUCAGCUCGUGUCGUGAGAUGUUGGGUUAAGUCCCGCAACGAGCGCAACCCCUGUGGUUAGUUGCCAUCAUUCAGUUGGACACUCUAAGCAGACUGCCGUGGAUAACACGGAGGAAGGUGGGGACGACGUCAAAUCAUCAUGCCCCUUAUGACCUGGGCUACACACGUGCUACAAUGGUCUGAACAGAGGGCUGCGAAACCGCGAGGUGAAGCUAAUCCCUUAAAACAGAUCUCAGUUCGGAUUGCAGGCUGAAACUCGCCUGCAUGAAGUUGGAGUUGCUAGUAAUCGCGGAUCAGAAUGCCGCGGUGAAUGCGUUCCCGGGUCUUGUACACACCG